GCCUCCGUAGCUCAGACGGUUAGAGCAGUCGCCUCUUAAGCGAAUGGUCACUGGUUCGAUUCCAGUCGGGGGCACCA
rnacentral:tRNA from 1 species